rnacentral:rRNA from 1 species
ACACGACUACAUUAGAUACCCGGGUAGUCCUAGGCGUAAAUGAUGCGAGUUAAGUGGUGGGGGCAUCUACGAGAUGGCCCUGUGCUGUAGGGUAGCCGUUAAACUCGCUGCCGUGGGGAGUACGGUCGCAAGGCUGAAAACUUAAAGGAAUUGGCGGGGGAGCACCACAAGAGGUGGAGGCUGCGGUUCAAUUGGACUCAACGCCGGAAAACUCAUCGGGAGCGACAGCAGUAUGAUUGCCAGGUUGAUGACCUUGCUUGACAAGCUG